rnacentral:other from 1 species
CAGCGCCUGCGGUGUUGGUGAACUUCGAGCUUAUUCGAACCGAACACCAAUUCACACGGGAGCUUUACAUUGGAUGAUGUACAGCACGCCUCUUAACUGAGGAAGCUGGAAAUGAUCCUGCGAGCACCCACCUGCUUAAUCGCGGGUUCGUGAUGUCUUUGAAGAUAACCGCAUUCGCGGGCAACCG